CCGGAGACUUCCGUUCGUUCACAUUCAACGAUGGCACUAGUAGACACACAAUCUGUCCCAGGACUAUCGCAGCAGGAACAUCCUCUACUGGAGGCGUGUGCGUGUACGCUGCUGUCCAGUAGCAGACAAAGGUCUCCUGGUCCUGGAUGAGACCUGGAUAUGCUCAGGUUGAUGGUUCUACAUCCAACCAUGGUCUGAGUUAGAGCCUCAUCCAGCUGAAGUUUUGGCGCUGGUGUCAUCGUCGUGGAGCUGUGAGGCGUUCAGGGUCUCCUGGUCCUGGAUGAGACCUGGAUAUGCUCAGGUUGAUGGUUCUACAUCCAACCAUGGUCUGAGUUAGAGCCUCAUCCAGCUGAAGGUGUGUGUGGUGAGCCGUUUAAACAUUUAAUAACAGAAAUAUAAAUCACAAACAUAACAUUGUCUAUUACGGAGGUCUCAUUAAAGAACAAAUUAUGCCUGUUAAAUAUGUGUUUUAAGUUAUUUAGAGUUGCUUGUUAAACAAAUGACAGCUGCAGAUACAAUGUUAAUUAUUGAUG
ensembl:lncRNA